GUAGGUGGCAAGCGUUGUCCGGAACUAUUGGGCGUAAAGCGCGCGCAGGCGGUUCUUUAAGUCUGAUGUGAAAGCCCACGGCUCAACCGUGGAGGGUCAUUGGAAACUGGAGAACUUGAGUACAGAAGAGGAAAGCGGAAUUCCACGUGUAGCGGUGAAAUGCGUAGAGAUGUGGAGGAACACCAGUGGCGAAGGCGGCUUUCUGGUCUGUAACUGACGCUGAGGCGCGAAAGCGUGGGGGAGCAAACAGGAUUAGAUACCCUGGUAGUCCACGCCGUAAACGAUGAGUGCUAAGUGUUAGGGGGUUUCCGCCCCUUAGUGCUGCAGCUAACGCAUUAAGCACUCCGCCUGGGAGUACGGCCGCAAGGCUG
rnacentral:rRNA from 1 species